rnacentral:rRNA from 1 species
AGAGUUUGAUCCUGGCUCAGGACGAACGCUGGCGGCGUGCCUAAUACAUGCAAGUCGAGCGAGCGGAACUAACAGAUUUACUUCGGUAAUGACGUUAGGAAAGCGAGCGGCGGAUGGGUGAGUAACACGUGGGGAACCUGCCCCAUAGUCUGGGAUACCACUUGGAAACAGGUGCUAAUACCGGAUAAGAAAGCAGAUCGCAUGAUCAGCUUUUAAAAGGCGGCGUAAGCUGUCGCUAUGGGAUGGCCCCGCGGUGCAUUAGCUAGUUGGUAAGGUAAAGGCUUACCAAGGCGAUGAUGCAUAGCCGAGUUGAGAGACUGAUCGGCCACAUUGGGACUGAGACACGGCCCAAACUCCUACGGGAGGCAGCAGUAGGGAAUCUUCCACAAUGGACGCAAGUCUGAUGGAGCAACGCCGCGUGAGUGAAGAAGGUUUUCGGAUCGUAAAGCUCUGUUGUUGGUGAAGAAGGAUAGAGGUAGUAACUGGCCUUUAUUUGACGGUAAUCAACCAGAAAGUCACGGCUAACUACGUGCCAGCAGCCGCGGUAAU